rnacentral:rRNA from 1 species
UUCCGUAGGUGAACCUGCGGAAGGAUCAUUACCUAGAGUUUGUGGGCUUUGCCUGCUAUCUCUUACCCAUGUCUUUUGAGUACUUACGUUUCCUCGGUGGGUUCGCCCGCCGAUUGGACAAUUUAAACCCUUUGCAGUUGCAAUCAGCGUCUGAAAAACAUAAUAGUUACAACUUUCAACAACGGAUCUCUUGGUUCUGGCAUCGAUGAAGAACGCAGCGAAAUGCGAUAAGUAGUGUGAAUUGCAGAAUUCAGUGAAUCAUCGAAUCUUUGAACGCACAUUGCGCCCCUUGGUAUUCCAUGGGGCAUGCCUGUUCGAGCGUCAUUUGUACCUUCAAGCAUUGCUUGGUGUUGGGUGUUUGUCUCGCCUUUGCGUGUAGACUCGCCUUAAAACAAUUGGCAGCCGGCGUAUUGAUUUCGGAGCGCAGUACAUCUCGCGCUUUGCACUCAUAACGACGACGUCCAAAAGUACAUUUUAACACUCUUGACCUCGGAUCAGGUAGGGAUACC